rnacentral:lncRNA from 1 species
AUUGAAUUGGAAGUGCAAAGUUUACGAAUUGCUAUAGAUAAUAGAUUGGGAGAUCAAGAUUCAUUACGGCAUCGUUUGGAAGAAUUAGAAAAAUUGGAUGAAACUAGAGCCAAUGCAUUAAUGAUAAUGAAAACUACACAAAAAUGAAGGAAGACUUAUUAUGAUAGUAAGCUUAGACCAAAGGCUUUUAUGCCAAAUAAUUUAAUACUUCUUUAUAAUAGUCGAUUUAAAAAUUUUCCAGAAAAAUUUCAAGUUUGAUGGCAUGGGCCAUAUCGAGUUAUUGAUAAAUUUCCAAAUGAUUCAAUACAAUUGGAAGAUUUUAUGGAUACUAAAUUUAUGACAUGGAUCAAUGGCAAUCGGCUUAAAAUUUACUAUAUAUAAAUCUGGGGCAGGUUUUCUAUUACAAAAGGGAGGGGAGAUAAAUAAUGAUGAGGAUAGGAUAUUUCAUCAUGAUGAAUUAUGGAAAAUAAGGGGGAGUCGAUCCAAAUGAUUGAACUAUAGUAAGAAGUAGGAGGGGGGCUCUUGAUAAGCAUCAUAUUUUUUUUUUAUGAUUAAA